CUCUGUAAUGAAAGACCCCCAAAGAGGGGAGACCCUCACUCAAGUCUUGGGAUGACACAACCCCCCAAGAACUCACGAGAGACC
rnacentral:pre_miRNA from 7 species